AUGACUGUGGAGAGCUGUGAUCUAGUGAAGGUGAGACUGUUUGGUCUUCUCCAUUGCCUGCUGACGGCUCCCCAAGGUGUCCUGUCUGACCUGACACUGCAGGAGUCGGGCCCAGGACUGGUGAAGCCCUCGCAGACCCUCUCCCUCACAUGCACUGUCUCUGGAGUCUCCAUCACAACCAGCAGUUACUACUGGAAUUGGAUCCGCCAGCCACCAGGAAAGAGCCUGGAGUACAUAGGGUUCAUAAGCUAUAGUGGGAGCGCUUACUACAACCCGUCCCUCAAGAGCCGCACCUCCAUCUCCAGAGACACGUCCAAGAACCAGUUCUCCCUGCAGCUGAGCUCCGUGACCACCGAGGACACAGCCGUGUACUACUGUGCAGGAUACACAGUGAGGGGAAGUGUCCAGUGUGAGGUGCAGCUGGUGGAGUCUGGGGGAGGUGCAGCCUAG